CUACUUUUUUAUUUCUUAUCUAUAAAUAAAAUAAGACUUGUUUCCACUAGGAAUGCAACUGGCCUGGUAAUGAGAUCCCAGUCUGGUCUGGCUUCAAAGUUCAUGUUUGUUUACCAGAAGAUGAGUCAGUCCUGAAUAUAAACCUGAUCAGUGUCAUACACUUGGAAAGACCAGAAGAUGGGAUAAAAUAUGGAAAUAAAAACAUGGGAUGAGGUAUCUUAUUUUCUUUUCUUGAGAGGCCAAGGGUGAUAAAUAGAUGUUUUCAAGAAAAGCAAACUGCAGAGAUCCCAGCGCUUCUGUGUCAGAGGCUGAGUAUUAUUCCUGGAGCAUUAUUCCAGAUUCUUGUUCCUUUUCUGGGCAAGUGCUGGCCAUGCCAUGGACUGCAGUCUGAGAAAGGUGAACUUAAUUUUUCAGUGUACAGAGGAGCUUAUGAAGUUUUGCCUUGUAAUUACCCUGGUCAUAUCCCUGUAUGUCCACACUUCUACACCAUUUUUGCUGAAAAGAUGAUCGUGUAACCAGAUGUGUACUUGAAUUUCCUGAAUUUUAUGUAUCAUCUGGAUGAAGCAUCUGGAUCCACCUCAUUGUGUAGCCUUUACUGACACAAAAUAUUUUGGACUGGCAGGUAAAGGAAACCAGAAUCAGCUGGUAGUGUUCAGCUUGCUCCAAAGCCUGUUGGAUUGCCCUUAAUGACUACAUUAAGCUGAUCGGAAGCAGAGGGAAGCUGGUAGCUAUGCAAGAUACUGGACUUGCUUUCUGAUUCCAGCUCAGUCAGAGUGCUAUUUUCCUAUAUCUCUGUGAGCCGUGAAUUCUCACUUGGACUCAUCCAGGAGACAGAAAUGUUUCUGUGUAUGGAACUGGAAACAUGGUCACUAGUCAGCUAAAUGCAUCUGCCACUGGUGGAACCUGGAAGAACAACAAACUCACAUUUCUAUGGACUCCUAGCAAAACAUAACCUGUUUUUUUUUCCCCUGAAGAUAAAGAUAAAUUUUCACAGACACAACGCAGCCACACUGUAUUUAUAGCUGCAGAUGGCUGCUCUUUCCCCUUAGCCUCACAAGUAUGUAUAUUAAACAAUAGGAAACUCUGCAGAGGUGUUUUUCUUUGUUUUGUUGUAUGUGAGCCUGUC
rnacentral:lncRNA from 1 species